CACUUGUUCUAAGCUGCUGAUGAUAGUGCUUGGAGCAGCGCUGCUGCCAAAAAGAGCUGAGUAUGGGCGUCCCCCCCCCUCCUGGAUGGAACCAGGAGGAUCUAUUACUCUGUCAGAGCUCCUCUCCCUCUGGGGAACCUCGUCUGCUUCCAGCUUAGCAGGCAUUGAGACCUAGUGGACCAGAGCUGCCCAUCUGAGGAGGGGAAACCCACCAUGUCAUAGUGUAAAGUAUGUUCACCCUGUUACCCGCUGACAGCUGCUGAGCAUUGACAUGUUAACAUGUAUAUCUGUGAAAUAAAGCUGCUUUCUAUUGGCUCAUGAA